CGCGCAGCGUGAGUGCCAGGAAGCGGCUGAGCGCACGAGUGCGCGCGCGUAUUUAACUGAGUGAGUUGAAAGCGGGUGGCGUGAGUCUGCACGCGCUUUGCUGUCAGAAACACAAGAUGUUUGACAAGCUCACCGGAGGCACGAGCGCACAUUUCUACCCAUUUCAGUUGUUUGUUCAUACAUAAAGAAUCUGUCUAGCCAUCUGUUUUGGCAAGAGAAGAGAAGAACAGAACAAGAAAAAAAGAGAAAAGAAGACAUCUUGUCUUGGUACUAGUUGGCUUGGAUGGUCAUGGGGCAUAUGGUGGCCUAUGACUAAUGACCUUUGAAUCUGAAAAUUUCAACAUGUCAGAAACAGGAGAAUCUGAAAAUAUCCCAGAAUGCACUGUGGAGGAGACUUCACCUCCAUGUUGUACCACAGACACAAAGGACUGUCAUGAAUCCACCCAGCCAAAAUCAGAUGAUAACCAUGGACAACUCAAAAAGAAACUGAAAGUAGGAUUGCAACUGAAUUUAAUCAUUAAAGCUCCCUCCCUGUAGAG
rnacentral:lncRNA from 1 species